rnacentral:rRNA from 1 species
UACGUAGGGACCGAGCGUUGUCCGGAAUCAUUGGGCGUAAAGCGCACGUAGGCGGUCUGUUAUGUCGGAUGUGAAAGCCCUCGGCUCAACUGAGGAAGUGCAUCCGAAACUGGCAGGCUAGAGUACCAAAGAGGGUCGCGGAAUUCCCGGUGUAGAGGUGAAAUUCGUAGAUAUCGGGAGGAACACCGGUGGCGAAGGCGGCGACCUGGGUGGAUACUGACGCUGAGGUGCGAAAGCGUGGGGAGCAAACAGG